GACAGCUAAGGACAGCCCCAUUAACAGGAGCCGGCACUAGAAGUGACACUAUCCAUGAAGAGGAACUACCUUAUCUCAGAAGUCAGAAACACUAGCAAUAGCCAAACAAGCUUAGGGUCCAAUUGAACUCCCAGUACAGUCAAGGGGAGUAUUUCCAUAUGCUUUAAUGGGACUGGAUCAGGCCCAUAAGUUAAUUGUCUUAGGUUCUCCAUUCUAUUUUUGGAGAUUUGUUCAGCUGAAAAAGGAACCAGAUUGGCCGAAGUUUCUUUCUACUUUACAUUUAGUGGGCAGAUGGGAAAGGACUUCAGGGAAGAUGACUGUGGAGAAAACCACUGAGCUGUGGUAAAUCAAGAGCUGACAACAAGCCAAAAAAUCUCAGAGUAGAAGAGCACAGUGAGAAACCAGACAGGAAGAAGCAAGCUGCUGCUGUAGUGGCCUUGAGGGGUUCCCCCUCCACACCUGUGGAGUGCCUGAGUCAGAUAAGGAGGAGAAAGAAGAGGAUGGGGAAAGCCAGAGCUGCAUCAGACCACUAGCAGAGCGCCUGCAGGGUGCUGACUAUAUGGAGAAGGAAAGAGUGGACUGGAGAAAGGCCAAGGAGUCCCAGCAGGAAAAGGAGAGGAAGGUGCACCAGGAAAUAAUGGGGCUUCUCCAGCAGCAAACAUGGAUGCUGCAGACUCUUGUGGUCCUACAGUGUCAACAACCGCAGGCUCGCUUCCCUUUGCAGUGCAUGGAGAACUCAAUUACAGCAGCUCCCUAGACCCCCAUCAACAUUCCACAUGGCAUCACCCCUACCACUCCACACCAGGGGACUGUAAGGCCCACCACAGCUUCACGUAUACUAACCUGUGAGAGGCAUGGUAGCUAUAUGUUUAGCAAAAACAGACAUGAACGUUCCUUCCUCUUAACUUCUGUUCCAUUAAUUUAUUUACUUGCUUUUAACUUGCACAGAACGGUAUUUGCAUGCGCACAUGCUAACUGCCCCGGCUGUAUGCCGACAUAACUUGCGGCAGCAAAAGUUUGUAGUGUCGACAUGGCCUUAGUACAUCUACACUGCCAUGAGAGGUGGGACUGUAGAUACACCUGAGCUAACUUUGAUCUAGCUAGUUUGACUAACCACAACAGCGAAGCUGCAGCAGCCCCUGGCUACACAAUGAGAGCCUGGGUAUGUGCUUGAGUGGCUAACCCUGUGCUGCCAGGACUUCACUGCAGUCACACCUCUCAUGGCAGCGAAGACAUACCCUCAGAGCUGGUCUACACUGAAAAGUUACAUCACCAUAGCAACCUCUCAGGGGUGUGAAAAAUCCAUACCGGUGAGAGACGUCAUUAACCCAACCUAAUCCCCAGCGUAGACAGAGAUAGGUCGUCAGAGGAAUUCUUGUGCCAGCCUAGCUUUUGGGGAGGUGGUGGGGAAUCUUUCCCCUGAAUACAUGGCUCAAGGUGCCCUUUAACAGAAUCCUGAGGAGAGGAAGAGUCCAUGUUGACUGGCCUGAGAAGACUGUUUAAUUACUGACAACAAAAUCCAAUGUGUAUUAAAUCAAUAUGGGCACAAUCCUAGAAGAUGUUGUGCACCCUCAAUUCUCAUGAAAUCCUGCAGAGUUGAGGAUGCCCAGCACCCCCCAGGAUCAGCCCUUAAAACUGGAACAAUUCCAUUGUUUGCAAUGUUUAACAAUGAAAAUGAAAGAGAAAUACCAUGGAGGUGUUCUGAAUGGAAGACAGGAGUCAUGCCACAGACCUGAAUUGCCAUCUCUGAAAAAUUUUCUCCUGUUGCUUGGAGAAUAUCUCCCAGCCGGAAAAUUGGGCAGCCUGGUGCAGUUAUCUUGUUGAAUGUGCACGAAAUAUUCAAUUUUGGUAAAAAGUUUCUUCUGCAAAGAACCACAAAUUAUUUGAAAA